rnacentral:rRNA from 1 species
UACGGGGGAUGCAAGCGUUAUCCGGAAUCAUUGGGCGUAAAGCGCCUGUAGGUUGUUUAAUAAGUCUGUUGUUAAAGACUGGGGCUUAACCCCAGGAAAGCAAUGGAAACUACUAGACUAGAGUAUGGUAGAGGUAAAGGGAAUUUCUAGUGUAGCGGUGAAAUGCGUAGAUAUUAGAAAGAACACCGGUGGCGAAAGCGCUUUACUGGACCAUUACUGACACUCAGAGGCGAAAGCUAGGGUAGCCAAAGGGAUUAGAUACCCCUGUAGUCCUAGCCGUAAACGAUGGAUACUAGAUGUUGUGCAUUAUGUACAGUAUCUUAGCUAACGCGUUAAGUAUCCCGCCUGGGGAGUACGUUCGCAAGGAUG